AUACGGAGGGUGCAAGCGUUACUCGGAAUCACUGGGCGUAAAGGACGCGUAGGCGGGUUGGCAAGUCAGAUGUGAAAUCCUACAGCUUAACUGUAGAACUGCAUUUGAAACUGCUAACCUAGAGUAUGGGAGGGGGAGAUGGAAUUAGUGGUGUAGGGGUAAAAUCCGUAGAUAUCACUAGGAAUACCGAAAGCGAAGGCGAUCUCCUGGAACAUAACUGACGCUAAGGCGUGAAAGCGUGGGGAGCAAACAGGAUUAGAUACCCCAGUAGUCC
rnacentral:rRNA from 1 species